rfam:Ovis aries breed Texel chromosome 3, whole genome shotgun sequence.
UCCCUGGUGGCUCAGAUGGUAAAGCAUCUGCCUACAAUGCGGGAGACCCAGGUUCAUUCCCUGGGUUGGGAA